GAUGAACGCUGGCGGCGUGCCUAAUACAUGCAAGUCGAGCGAACGGACGAGAAGCUUGCUUCUCUGAUGUUAGCGGCGGACGGGUGAGUAACACGUGGAUAACCUACCUAUAAGACUGGGAUAACUUCGGGAAACCGGAGCUAAUACCGGAUAAUAUUUUGAACCGCAUGGUUCAAAAGUGAAAGACGGUCUUGCUGUCACUUAUAGAUGGAUCCGCGCUGCAUUAGCUAGUUGGUAAGGUAACGGCUUACCAAGGCAACGAUGCAUAGCCGACCUGAGAGGGUGAUCGGCCACACUGGAACUGAGACACGGUCCAGACUCCUACGGGAGGCAGCAGUAGGGAAUCUUCCGCAAUGGGCGAAAGCCUGACGGAGCAACGCCGCGUGAGUGAUGAAGGUCUUCGGAUCGUAAAACUCUGUUAUUAGGGAAGAACAUAUGUGUAAGUAACUGUGCACAUCUUGACGGUACCUAAUCAGAAAGCAACGGCUAACUACGUG
rnacentral:rRNA from 1 species